rnacentral:rRNA from 1 species
ACCCGCCGAAAGGCGGGCUAAACCCGCGUACAUGCCACCGGGGCAUCCCGGAGGCAGGAAAGGCUUCGGCCGGACAGGGAUGGGCAUGCGGCGCAUUAGGCAGUAGGCGGGGUAACGGCCCACCUAACCGACGAUGCGUAGGGGUUCUGAGAGGAAGGUCCCCCACACUGGUACUGAGACACGGACCAGACUCCUACGGGAGGCAGCAGUGAGGAAUAUUGGUCAAUGGUCGGGAGACUGAACCAGCCAAGCCGCGUGAGGGAGGAAGGUACAGAGUAUCGUAAACCUCUUUUGUCAGGGAACAAAGACUGGGACGCGUCCCCGGAUGAGUGUACCUGAAGAAAAAGCAUCGGCUAACUCCGUGCCAGCAGCCGCGGUAAUACGGAGGAUGCGAGCGUUAUCCGGAUUUAUUGGGUUUAAAGGGUGCGCAGGCGGUCUGUUAAGUCAGCGGUCAAAGCCCGGGGCUCAACCCCGGCCCGCCGUUGAAACUGGCAGUCUCGAGUUGGAGAGAAGUAUGCGGAAUGCGCGGUGUAGCGGUGAAAUGCAUAGAUAUCGCGCAGAACUCCGAUUGCGAAGGCAGCAUGCCGGCUCCACACUGACGCUGAGGCACGAAAGCGUGGGUAUCGAACAGGAUUAGAUACCCUGGUAGUCCACGCUGUAAACGAUGAA